rnacentral:rRNA from 1 species
AGAGUUUGAUCCUGGCUCAGGAUAAACGCUGGCGGCGUGCCUAACACAUGCAAGUCGCACGUUCUCGCGGCAACGCGUGGGAGUGGCGGACGGGUGAGUAACACAUGGGUAACCUGCCUUUCAGUGAGGAAUACCGGCGAGAAAUCGCCGACAAUACCGCAUAGGCUCACUUCCUCUCAACAGAGGUGAGCAAAGCUCCGCAAGGGGCGCUGGAAGAGGGGCCCGUGGCCGAUUAGCUGGUUGGUGGGGUCACGGCCUACCAAGGCGACGAUCGGUCGCUGGUCUGAGAGGACGAUCAGCCACACUGGGAUUGAGAACGGCCCAGACUCCUACGGGGGGCAGCAGUGAGGAAUUUUCCGCAAUGGACGCAAGUCUGACGGAGCAACGCCGCGUGCAGGACGAAGGUCUUCGGAUCGUAAACUGCUUUUCCCAGGGAAGAGCAAGGACGGUACCUGGGGAAGAAGCCCCGGCUAACUACGUGCCAGCAGCCGCGGUAAUACGUAGGGGGCAAGCGUUGUCCGGAUUUAUUGGGCGUAAAGCGCCCGCAGGCGGUCGCGUCAGUUUGGGGUGACAGCUCCUGGCUUAACCGGGAGAGUGCCUCGAAGACGGCGUGACUUGAGGGCCAGAGAGGGACAUGGAACUCCGGGUGGAGUGGUGAAAUGCGUAGAGAUCCGGAAGAACACCAAAGGCGAAGGCAGUGUCCUGGCUGGCAUCUGACGCUCAGGGGCGAAAGCGAGGGGAGCGAACGGGAUUAGAUACCCCGGUAGUCCUCGCCGUAAACGAUGACCACUAGGUGUGGGAGGGAUCGACCCCUUCCGUGCCGGCGUUAACGCACUAAGUGGUCCGCCUGGGGAGUACGGGUCGCAAGAUUAAAACUCAAAGGAAUUGACGG